rnacentral:rRNA from 1 species
AUGGCGGCGGCGGCACCGCUCCGGCCCCUCAGGGCCUCCAUUGCGCUACUCCUCCUCGCCCUCGCCCUCUCCGCGCUCGUGCCGUCGUCGGAUGCGUACGAUUCGCUUGAUCCGGUUGGGAACAUUACGAUCAAGUGGGAUGUGAAGAAGUGGAGCCAUGAUGGCUACGUGGCUACUGUCUCACUCUACAACUACCAGCAGUAUCGCCACAUCCAAGCGCCGGGAUGGAAGCUCGGCUGGGUGUGGGCGGGGAAAGAAAUAAUCUGGAAAAUGUCCGGCGCCCAAACCACGGAGCAGGGCGAUUGCUCCAGGUUCAGAGAGGAGCCGCCGCCGCACUGCUGCCGGACGGACCCGGAGGUGGUGGACUUCCUUCCGGGGGCAGCCUACAGCAAGCAGACCCCAAACUGCUGCAAAGGAGGAGUCCUCAGCUCAUGGGGACAGGACCCCGCCAACGCCAUUGCCACAUUUGAUGUCACUGUUGGUCAGGCAGGGACUUCCAACAGCUCUGUCAAGGCGCCCACGAAUUUCACCCUCAAGGCCCCUGGGCCAGGGUACACCUGCGGGCCUGCAAAGGAGGUAGAGCCUACCAAGUUCAUUGACAAGGAUGGGGAUGGGAGGAGGACGACCCAGGCCAUCAAGACAUGGAAUGUGACGUGCACAUAUUCGCAGUUCGGCGCGGGACGAUCCCCGACGUGCUGCGUUGUGCUCUCAUCGUUUUACAACAGCACCAUCGUCGACUGCAAUAAGUGCUCAUGUGGCUGCCAAGAUAACAGCACAAACCCAGUGAGUUGUAUCAAGCCCAACUCACCUUAUCUGGCUUCUGUCGUGCCCGGGGAUAGCACCAACAUCCCGGUACCUCUCGUGCAAUGCUCUCCUCAUAUGUGCCCAAUAAGGGUGCACUGGCACGUCAAGGCUAACUACAAGGAAUACUGGAGGGUGAAGAUCACGGCGACAAACCUCAACUACCUGAUGAACUACUCGCAGUGGAACCUCGUCGCGCAGCACCCGAACUUCAACAACCUGACCACUAUCUUCAGCUUCAGAUACAAAGAUCUGAACCCUUAUGGAACAAUAAACGACACCGGGAUGAUGUGGGGCAUCAAGUACUACAAUGACCUGCUCAUGACUGCCCAGCAUAAUGGAAAUGUUCAGUCUGAGCUUUUGUUCCGGAAGGACCCGGCAACCUUCACCUUCCAGAAAGGAUGGGCGUUUCCGAGGCGAGUGUACUUCAACGGCGAGAACUGCGUGAUGCCGCCUCCAGAUGCGUACCCAUGGCUGCCGAACGAUUCUCAUCGACUGUCGGCAUCACUUACCAUUCCAUUCAUAACCGUUUGGGCAGCAUUGGCAUUCUUUCUGGUUCAUGUGUAG